GUUGGAAAAGGGCAGCAGCUCCCGGGAGGAUGCGCCCCCGGCGUGGGAAGCCGAGGAACCGGCGCGCGGCGCGCGGCGCGUGGCGCGUGGCGAGUCGGGGAGAGACUGGUCUUGCUCGCUCAGGAGACCCUCAUCGCCCACAGAGCGCCCGCGGCGACCCGGUCACGGCCCUUCCAUUUCCUGACCCUGCUUAAUGACAGCGAGGUGAAAACAUCUACCAAACGAAGGGUAAAAGGCUGGAGUCCGCCAAAAGCCAAUUUAAGGCUUAACAUUGCAGACCGUUUGUCUUUACAAAAGCUUCAAAGACGGGGCUGCAGCUCCCGGUUAUCCCCACUUUGUCAAGCCAUGAAUCUGAAUGUUCGUGGGGUUGUGUGCAUCGAAUCAGCAAGAGCAAGGCAAGAAUUCAAGAAAUAGUUCUUUUUUAUCCCCCCUUCCAAGUCACAGGUUCAGAGGAUCAUCAUCUUUCUCCCACAUUAGCAAAACAUAUUUGCAUUUUUCAGUGAAGUUCUUUACCGCACGAGUGCCCUAAAAUAGCAAACAGUUCCCUGUUCAAAAGCAAUAGUAAAGAAAUUCGCCGAAGAGUUUAAUUGCCUGGGGACAGCUGCAGUAGUCGCAUCAUCGUCUCUUAUUAAACUGUUGCAGAAAUAUUCGGUCUAGUCCAUGUAUUUUCAACUAAAUAGCACUGCUUACGCAGUUGGUGAUAUGGUGAUAUCACGGAAGUAGCAAUAAACCUUGGUUAUCUUUUUUUUUUUUUUUUUUGAGACGGAGUCUCGCUCCGUCGCCCAGGCUGGAGUGCAACGGCGCGACCUCUACUCACCACAACCUCAGCCUCCCGGAUUCAAGCGAUUCUCCUGCCUCAGCACUACCACCCCCACCAGCCCCCAACCCCUGCCGAGUAACUGGGACUACAGGCGUGCGCCAUCCGUGCCCGCUCAUUUUUGUAUUUUCAGUAGAGACUGGGUUUCACUAUGUUGGCCAGGCUGGUCUCAAACUCCUGACCUCGUGAUCCGCCCACCUCAGCCUCCCAAAGUGCUGGGGGGAUUACAGGUGUGAGCCACCGCGCCCGGCCAACCUUGGUUAUCUUCAAAUGCCUUGUUACCUCAGAUUUUAAAGUGCAUAAGGUUGUAGAACGAUGGUGCCUCUACAGAAGUUUCUUUACAAAUUGUAAUGUGUAGGUUCGUCCUUUAUUUCUUUCUUAUGAAGGUGCACGAAUUGGCUUUACUUUCUGGGGUUGAAUUUUGUAUAAACUCGGUUGAGGAGGCUUGUCAGUUUCCCUUCUAACAGUAAGGUGCUUGAUUAAUGUGAGAGAAAAAAAUUAAUGUUGGUCAUUUUCAGUUACAAUACCAAAAUUUUUUCUGCAUACUUUACUCUGAGUUACUUUUAUAUUUAAUUUGAAAGGCCAUUGUAGGAGAUAAAUUAUCACAUUUUAAGUUACUGUAAAUCAAUAGCUUAGGUAGAAAUUCAUUUAGUCAGAUCCUUCAGAUAUUCUAGGAAUUUCCCCUUUUCACCUGCACUUCACUUCUGUGAAAAAUAAACCGUUCAUCAAAAGUCCUCAUGUACUUUUAUUAAAAGUUCAUUUCCUAUUAUUUUAGAAAAUAGACCACGAAACUAGAGAUUUUCUAUGAACCUGUGAUUUGUUAAAAUGUCUCUUUUAUUCGAAGUACCGUGGGGAAAACCAACUCAAUUUGCCAAAUUUGCAUACAUAUUCUGAAGCUUUUCUUACACUAAUGGCAAACUCAUAUUUCUGUUCCAAUAUUUGCAGAGCCAAUAUAAUUACACGUCAGCUCUUCAUAGCCUUUAUGUAGUAAGAAAUCUUAACUUUGAUGAUUUGAGCAAGGAUUUUUCCAGAAAGUUAUAACUCUCAUUGCGAGAAGCAUCAUAAUCACUGAUAAUACAUUCCACUUGAUAUCAUAAAUGACAAAAUAUAACUUUCUGAUCUUUACCAAAUUGAAUACUGUCUAAAUUUAAGGAAUAUUUAGUAUUUAACAUCGAAGUUGCAUGUGAUCUUAAGAAGUUUGCAUUUAGUACUUUUUUUCAUUUUAUUUUAUUUUAUUUAUUUAUUUUGAGACGGAGUCUUACUCUGUCACCCAGACUGUAGUGCACUGGCGCAGUCUCGGCUCAUUGCAACCUCCACCUCCCAGGUUCAAGCGAUUCUCCUGCCUCAGCCUCCCAAGUAACUAGGACUAUAGGUAUGUGCCACCACGCCCAGCUAAUUGUUGUACUUUUAGUAGAGACGAGGUUUCACCAUGUUGGCCAGGCUGGUCUGGAACUCCUGACCUCAAGUGAUCCACCCGUCUCGGCCUCCCAAAGUGCUAGGAAUACAGGCGUGAGACAGCGCGCCAGGCCUUUUUUCUUGUUAAAUGAUACAAGUCAGAAUAGUCACUCAGGUACUGGCUGAGAUAGUUUACUAGCCAUUAAGCAAACUUACUGUAAAAAAAAAACUGUGCUUACUUGUAGUGUUCCUACUUGAGGGAUUUACUUUUCACUAAGUGUAAUAGAAAAUCCCUCCCCUCAUGAAGUUAUAUUCUGAUGGGGAACACAGACAAAUGAGUAAAAUAUAUGUUAGAUAGUAGUAAAUGCUAACAGAAAAAUGAAAUCAGAAGGGAAAAUGGUAAAACAGUAAGUGCACCAGUGUGAUAACACUAAGGAAUAUGAAAACUGGCCUAUAUUGGCUUCAGUUAACUGGCAAAUUUAACUGAAAAUAGACACAUUACUGAAAAGUUAGAUGUCUAGUGAUUUUUUUCCUUGUGAUAAAAUACACAUAAAAUUUACCAUUGUACUCAUUUUGAAGUGUGCAGAUCAGUAGUGUUACAUACAUUCAUUCAUCCUGUUGUACAGCCAAUCUCCAGAUUUUCAUCUUGCAAAACUGAAACUCUAUAUUCAUUAAACAACUGCCCACUUCCCCUUCCCUCCAGCCCCUGGCAACCACCAAUCAACUUUCUAUUUCUAUGAAUUUGACUACUCUAGAUACCUCAUAUAAAUAGAAUCAUCCAGUAUCUGCCUUUUUGUGACUGGCUUAUUUCACUUGGUAUAAUGCCUUCAGGGUCCAUCAUGUUGUAACAUGUGUCAGCAUUUCCUUACUUUUUUUUUUUUUUUUAAGAUGUACUCUUGCUGUGUCAUCAACACUGGAGUGUAGUGGCAUGAUCUAGGCUCCACCUCCUGGGUUCAAGCAAUUCUCCCACUUCAGCCUCCCAAGUAGCUGGGAUUACAGGUGCCCACCACCACACAAGGCUAAUUUUUGUAUUUUUAGUAGAGACAGGGUUUCACCAUGUUGGCCAGAUUGGUCUCGAACUCCUGACCUCAGGUGAUCCACCCACCUUGGCCUCCCAAAGUGCUGGGGUUACAGGCAUGAGCCACCACCCCUGGCCAUUUCCUUCCUUUUCAAAGCUGAACAAAAUUCUGUUGUGUGUAUAUAACACAUUGUGUGUAUCCAUUCAUCUAUCAAUGAACAUUUAAGUUGUUUCCACCUUUUGGCUAUUGUGAAUAAUGCUGAUAUGAACAUGGGGGUACAAAUAUCUGUUCCUGUCUCUCCUUUCGACUUUUUGGGAUGUAUACUCAAAAGUGGAAUUGCUGGAUCAUAUUUUCUAUGUUUAAUUUUUUGAGGAAUCACCAUACUGUUUUCCAGAGUGGCUGUACCAUUUUACAUUCUCACCAAAAGUGCAUAAGAGUUCCAAUUUCUCCAUGUUUUCACCACCACUGGUUAUUUUCUAUAUUUGUUUAUAGUAGCUAUCCUGUUGGGUAUAAUGUGAUAUCUUACUGUAGUUUUAAUUUGUAUUUCUCUAAUGAUUAGUGAUGUUGAACAUCUUUACCUAUUCUUGUUGCUCAUUUGUAUAUCUUCUUUGGAGAAAUACCUAUUGAAGUUUUUUGCCCAUUUUGUGUAUUUAUUUAUUUAUUUUUGAGACAGAGUCUUGCUCUAUCUCCCAAACUGGAGUACAG
rnacentral:lncRNA from 1 species